rnacentral:rRNA from 1 species
AUGAACGCUAGCGACAGGCUUAACACAUGCAAGUCGAGGGGCAGCACAGGUAGCAAUACCGGGUGGCGACCGGCGCACGGGUGAGUAACGCGUAUGCAACUUACCUAUCAGAGGGGGAUAACCCGGCGAAAGUCGGACUAAUACCGCAUGAAGCAGGGGCCCCGCAUGGGGAUAUUUGCUAAAGAUUCAUCGCUGAUAGAUAGGCAUGCGUUCCAUUAGGCAGUUGGCGGGGUAACGGCCCACCAAACCGACGAUGGAUAGGGGUUCUGAGAGGAAGGUCCCCCACAUUGGUACUGAGACACGGACCAAACUCCUACGGGAGGCAGCAGUGAGGAAUAUUGGUCAAUGGGCGUAAGCCUGAACCAGCCAAGUCGCGUGAGGGAUGAAGGUUCUAUGGAUCGUAAACCUCUUUUAUAAGGGAAUAAAGUGCGGGACGUGUCCCGUUUUGUAUGUACCUUAUGAAUAAGGAUCGGCUAACUCCGUGCCAGCAGCCGCGGUAAUACGGAGGAUCCGAGCGUUAUCCGGAUUUAUUGGGUUUAAAGGGUGCGUAGGCGGCCUUUUAAGUCAGCGGUGAAAGUCUGUGGCUCAACCAUAGAAUUGCCGUUGAAACUGGGGGGCUUGAGUAUGUUUGAGGCAGGCGGAAUGCGUGGUGUAGCGGUGAAAUGCAUAGAUAUCACGCAGAACCCCGAUUGCGAAGGCAGCCUGCCAAGCCAUGACUGACGCUGAUGCACGAAAGCGUGGGGAUCAAACAGGAUUAGAUACCCUGGUAGUCCACGCAGUAAACGAUGAUCACUAGCUGUUUGCGAUACACUGUAAGCGGCACAGCGAAAGCGUUAAGUGAUCCACCUGGGGAGUACGCCGGCAACGGUGAAACUCAAAGGAAUUGACGGGGGCCCGCACAAGCGGAGGAACAUGUGGUUUAAUUCGAUGAUACGCGAGGAACCUUACCCGGGUUUGAACGCAUUCGGACCGAGGUGGAAACACCUUUUCUAGCAAUAGCCGUUUGCGAGGUGCUGCAUGGUUGUCGUCAGCUCGUGCCGUGAGGUGUCGGCUUAAGUGCCAUAACGAGCGCAACCCUUGCCACUAGUUACUAACAGGUGAUGCUGAGGACUCUGGUGGGACUGCCAGCGUAAGCUGCGAGGAAGGCGGGGAUGACGUCAAAUCAGCACGGCCCUUACAUCCGGGGCGACACACGUGUUACAAUGGCGUGGACAAAGGGAGGCCACCUGGCGACAGGGAGCGAAUCCCCAAACCACGUCUCAGUUCGGAUCGGAGUCUGCAACCCGACUCCGUGAAGCUGGAUUCGCUAGUAAUCGCGCAUCAGCCAUGGCGCGGUGAAUACGUUCCCGGGCCUUGUACACACCGCCCGUCAAGCCAUGGGAGCCGGGGGUACCUGAAGUCCGUAACCGCGAGGAUCGGCCUAGGGUAAAACUGGUGACUGGGGCU